UCGAGAAUAAUUCACAAUGGGGGCAACCCUGAUGGUGCAACGCCGCGUGGAGGAUGACGGUCUUCGGAUUGUAAACUCCUGUCAUCCGGGAGUAAGACCUGGUCGUUAAUAGCGAACAGGGUUGAUAGUACCGGAAGAGGAAGGGACGGCUAACUUCGUGCCAGCAGCCGCGGUAAUACGAAGGUCCCGAGCGUUGUUCGGAAUCACUGGGCGUAAAGGGAGCGUAGGCGGCGCGGUAAGUCAGAUGUGAAAUCCCGGGGCUCAACCCCGGAACUGCAUCCGAUACUGCCGUGCUAGAGGAUUGGAGAGGUAGCUGGAAUUCUUGGUGUAGCAGUGAAAUGCGUGGAUAUCAAGAGGAACACUCGUGGCGAAAGCGAGCUACUGGACAACUCCUGACGCUGAGGCUCGAAGGCCAGGGUAGCGAAAG
rnacentral:rRNA from 1 species